GGAAAGCGGCGGACGGGUGAGUAACGCGUGGGCAACCUGCCUUUCACAGAGGGAUAGCCAAAGGAAACUUUGAUUAAAACCUCAUAAAGCUGGAAUAGUGCAUAAUAUACCAGCCAAAGAUUUAUCGGUGAAAGAUGGGCCCGCGUCUGAUUAGCUAGUUGGUGGGGUAACGGCUCACCAAGGCGACGAUCAGUAGCCGACCUGAGAGGGUGAUCGGCCACAUUGGAACUGAGACACGGUCCAAACUCC
rnacentral:rRNA from 1 species